rnacentral:lncRNA from 1 species
AAAUGGUCAGAUGACCACUUUAGGAGUUAUUGCCCUUUAUAGUCAAUUUUUAACCAUUUUUCGUAAAUCUUAGUAAUCUUUUAGAAAAAUCUUCUCCUCUGAAACUACUGGGUCAAAUUUAACCAAACUUGGCCAUAAUCAUCAUUGGGGUAUCUAGUUUAAAAAAUGUGUCCGGUGCCCCGCCCAACCAACCAAGAUGGCCGCCAUGGCUAAAAAUAGAACAUAGGGGUAAAAUGCAGUUUUUGGCUUAUAACUCAAAAACCAAAGCAUUUAGAGCAAAUCUGACACCAGUAAAAUUGUUCAUCAG